rnacentral:rRNA from 1 species
UACGUAGGGCGCAAGCGUUGUCCGGAUUCAUUGGGCGUAAAGAGCUCGUAGGCGGUUCGGCAAGUCGGGUGUGAAAACUCCAGGCUCAACCUGGAGACGCCACCCGAUACUGCUGUGACUCGAGUCCGGUAGGGGACCACGGAAUUCCUGGUGUAGCGGUGAAAUGCGUAGAUAUCAGGAGGAACACCGGUGGCGAAGGCGGCUACCUGGACAGAAACUGACGCUGAGGCGCGAAAGCUAGGGGAGCAAACAGG